AUUGAACGCUGGCGGCAGGCCUAACACAUGCAAGUCGAGCGGAUGAAGGGAGCUUGCUCCUGGAUUCAGCGGCGGACGGGUGAGUAAUGCCUAGGAAUCUGCCUGGUAGUGGGGGAUAACGUCCGGAAGCGGGCGCUAAUACCGCAUACGUCCUGAGGGAGAAAGUGGGGGAUCUUCGGACCCCACGCUAUCAGAUGAGCCUAGGUCGGAUUAGCUAGUUGGUGGGGUAAAGGCCUACCAAGGCGACGAUCCGUAACUGGUCUGAGAGGAUGAUCAGUCACACUGGAACUGAGACACGGUCCAGACUCCUACGGGAGGCAGCAGUGGGGAAUAUUGGACAAUGGGCGAAAGCCUGAUCCAGCCAUGCCGCGUGUGUGAAGAAGGUCUUCGGAUUGUAAAGCACUUUAAGUUGGGAGGAAGGGCAGUAAGUUAAUACCUUGCUGUUUUGACGUUACCAACAGAAUAAGCACCGGCUAACUUCGUG
rnacentral:rRNA from 1 species